AACCAGCACCUCAAGUGGUCAGGAUGAUUAUUGGGCCUAAAGCAUCCGUAGCCUGUUCUGUAAGUUUUCGGUUAAAUCCAUAAGCUCAACUUAUGGGCUGCCGAAAAUACUGCAGAACUAGGGAGUGGGAGAGGUAGACGGUACUCGGUAGGAAGGGGUAAAAUCCUUUGAUCUAUUGAUGACCACCUGUGGCGAAGGCGGUCUACCAGAACACGUUCGACGGUGAGGGAUGAAAGCUGGGGGAGCAAACAGG
rnacentral:rRNA from 1 species